rnacentral:rRNA from 1 species
UACGUAGGGCGCAAGCGUUGUCCGGAAUUAUUGGGCGUAAAGAGCUCGUAGGCGGUCUGUCGCGUCGGCUGUGAAAACCCGAGGCUCAACCUCGGGCCUGCAGUCGAUACGGGCAGACUAGAGUGCUGUAGGGGAGAAUGGAAUUCCUGGUGUAGCGGUGAAAUGCGCAGAUAUCAGGAGGAACACCCGUGGCGAAGGCGGUUCUCUGGGACGGUACUGACGCUGAGACGCGAAAGCAUGGGGAGCGAACAGG